rnacentral:lncRNA from 1 species
GAAGCUACACGUCAGAUCCCUCUGAAGUGCAGUGAAAUGGAUUCAAGCAACAAGACACAGUAGACUGGAAUGAGGCUACCUGAAGAAGAAAAGCGUUAAGAGAAGUCGAAACUCGACAAGCCUGGGCAAAAUUGGGCUUUCUUAGUCUUUGCUUUGUUAUCGUUACACGACAACGAGCAAAGAGGGGCAGCUGUACAAACCCAAUUUUUUUUAACCGAGGCCCAUUACCCAAUAACCAAACCCAACACUAACCCAA